GGUUAAGCGACUAAGCGUACACGGUGGAUGCCCUGGCAGUCAGAGGCGAUGAAGGACGUGCUAAUCUGCGAUAAGCGUCGGUAAGGUGAUAUGAACCGUUAUAACCGGCGAUUUCCGAAUGGGGAAACCCAGUGUGUUUCGACACACUAUCAUUAACUGAAUCCAUAGGUUAAUGAGGCGAACCGGGGGAACUGAAACAUCUAAGUACCCCGAGGAAAAGAAAUCAACCGAGAUUCCCCCAGUAGCGGCGAGCGAACGGGGAGCAGCCCAGAGCCUGAAUCAGUGUGUGUGUUAGUGGAAGCGUCUGGAAAGGCGCGCGAUACAGGGUGACAGCCCCGUACACAAAAAUGCACAUGCUGUGAGCUCGAUGAGUAGGGCGGGACACGUGGUAUCCUGUCUGAAUAUGGGGGGACCAUCCUCCAAGGCUAAAUACUCCUGACUGACCGAUAGUGAACCAGUACCGUGAGGGAAAGGCGAAAAGAACCCCGGCGAGGGGAGUGAAAAAGAACCUGAAACCGUGUACGUACAAGCAGUGGGAGCCUCUUUAUGGGGUGACUGCGUACCUUUUGUAUAAUGGGUCAGCGACUUAUAUUCUGUAGCAAGGUUAACCGAAUAGGGGAGCCGAAGGGAAACCGAGUCUUAACUGGGCGUUAAGUUGCAGGGUAUAGACCCGAAACCCGGUGAUCUAGCCAUGGGCAGGUUGAAGGUUGGGUAACACUAACUGGAGGACCGAACCGACUAAUGUUGAAAAAUUAGCGGAUGACUUGUGGCUGGGGGUGAAAGGCCAAUCAAACCGGGAGAUAGCUGGUUCUCCCCGAAAGCUAUUUAGGUAGCGCCUCGUGAA
rnacentral:rRNA from 1 species